rnacentral:rRNA from 1 species
UACGGGGGGGGCAAGCGUUGUCCGGAAUCAUGGGGCGUAAAGAGCGUGUAGGCGGCCAGAAAAGUCCGCUGUGAAAACUCGAGGCUCAACUUCGAGCUGUCGGUGGAAACUUUCUGGCUAGAGUCCGGAAGAGGAGAAUGGAAUUCCUGGUGUAGCGGUGAAAUGCGCAGAUAUCAGGAAGAACACCCGUGGCGAAGGCGGUUCUCUGGGACGGUACUGACGCUGAGACGCGAAAGCGUGGGGAGCGAACAGG